AGCAGCCGCGGUAAUUCCAGCUCCAAUAGCGUAUAUUAAAGUUGUUGCAGUUAAAAAGCUCGUAGUUGAAUUUCGGGGUUAGUAGGUUGGUCGUGCCACUGGUACGUACUGGUCUCACUGAUUCCUCCUUCCUGAUGAACUGUAAUGCCAUUAAUUUGGUGUUGCAGGGAAACUGGACUGUUACUUUGAAAAAAUUAGAGUGUUUAAAGCAAGCUAACGCUUGAAUACAUUAGCAUGGAAUAAUGAAAUAGGACGUUCGAUCCUAUUUUGUUGGUUUCUAGGAUUGACGUAAUGAUUAAUAGGGAUAGUUGGGGGCAUUAGUAUUCAAUUGUCAGAGGUGAAAUUCUUGGAUUUAUUGAAGACUAACUACUGCGAGAGCAUUCGCCAAGGAUGUUUUCAUUAAUCAAGAACGAAAGUUAGGGGAUCGAAGACGAUCAGAUACCGUCGUAGUCUUAACCAUAAACUAUGCCGACUAGGGGAUCGGAUGGAUGUUAAUUUUUUUAAUGAACUUCAUCGGCGC
rnacentral:rRNA from 1 species